rnacentral:sRNA from 1 species
CAGCCUUUACCAAAUUUGUUGAUGGCCCGCUAAGAAGACAUUUUCACUCAGACCCCGGUUCUUCUGGUAUGCGGAGAUUCUUUUCGAGCCACGGAGCAUCCAACACGGAUACGCCAGCUGGACAAAGAGAGAGUAGUCCCCACCAGGCUACAACAGAUACUUCAAAUCAAACCGAAGCUGUUGGAGAAAAUCUCCAGCAGACCGUGGGCGAAAUUGCAGCAUCCUCACGGGAAACUCAAGCUAUGGAAGGGAAUACCAACAGACCUGAACGAAGCACCGCCGACAAUCGUCAACCCGGAGAUCAAAUUACAACAACAG